GUGCCAGCAGCCGCGGUAAGACGGGGGGUUCUAGCGUUGUUCGGAAUCAUUGGGCGUAAAGCGUGUGCAGGUGGCUCUGUAAGUUAGAUGUGAAAGCCUUGGGCUUAACCCAAGAAGUGCAUUUAAAACUACAAAGCUUGAGUAUGGAAGAGGGUCGUGGAAUUCCUGGUGUAGUGGUGAAAUACGUAGAUAUCAGGAGGAACACCGGUGGCGAAGGCGGCGACCUGGUCCAAUACUGACACUCAUACACGAAAGCGCGGGGAUCAAACAGGAUUAGAAACCCUGGUAGUCC
rnacentral:rRNA from 1 species